rnacentral:rRNA from 1 species
UUCCACGCUGUCGGUUCGCCGCCCGUCGGUGUUAACUGGCAUGUCCUGUGGAACGUCCUGCCGGUGGCGGUCCGGGCUCUCGACUUGCGUAAAGGCUCACGCCCGAAGCAGGUCGAACAGUUCCGGCCGCCGGUUCAAUCCCGCCACGGUGCUCUUUACCGAGUGUCGAGGUGGGCCGGCACGUUUACUUUGAACAAAUUAGAGUGCUUAAAGCAGGCUGGUGUCCGCCUGAAUACUGUGUGCAUGGAAUAAUGGAAUAGGACCUCGGUUCUAUUUUGUUGGUUUUCGGAACCCGAGGUAAUGAUUAAUAGGGACAGGCGGGGGCAUUCGUAUUGCGACGUUAGAGGUGAAAUUCUUGGAUCGUCGCAAGACGAACCUAAGCGAAAGCAUUUGCCAAGUAUGUUCUCGUUAAUCAAGAACGAAAGUUAGAGGUUCGAAGGCGAUCAGAUACCGCCCUAGUUCUAACCAUAAACGAUGCCAGCCAGCGAUCCGCCGAAGUUCCUCCGAUGACUCGGCGGGCAGCUUCCGGGAAACCAAAGCUUUUGGGUUCCGGGGGAAGUAUGGUUGCAAAGCUGAAACUUAAAGGAAUUGACGGAAGGGCACCACCAGGAGUGGAGCCUGCGGCUUAAUUUGACUCAACACGGGAAACCUCACCAGGCCCGGACACCGGAAGGAUUGACAGAUUGAGAGCUCUUUCUUGAUUCGGUGGGUGGUGGUGCAUGGCCGUUCUUAGUUGGUGGAGCGAUUUGUCUGGUUAAUUCCGAUAACGAACGAGACUCUAGCCUGCUAACUAGGCGAUUUCCGGUACCCACAAUAGUGUUACCGGCGAUUCAAUUUCUUCUUAGAGGGACAGGCGGCUCCUAGCCGCACGAGACUGAGCAAUAACAGGUCUGUGAUGCCCUUAGAUGUCCUGGGCCGCACGCGCGCUACACUGAAGGAAUCAGCGUGUCUUCCCUGGCCGACAGGCCCGGGUAACCCGUUGAACCUCCUUCGUGCUAGGGAUUGGGGCUUGCAAUUGUUCCCCAUGAACGAGGAAUUCCCAGUAAGCGCGAGUCAUAAGCUCGCGUUGAUUACGUCCCUGCCCUUUGUACACACCGCCCGUCGCUACUACCGAUUGAAUGAUUUAGUGAGGUCUUCGGACUGGUGCGCGGCGAUCGGUUUUACCGGCCGCCGAUGUUGCCGGAAAGAUGACCAAACUUGAUCAUUUAGAGGAAGUAAAAGUCGUAACAAGGUUUCC